CCAUAUUCAAUUAGACUUUAGUAGAAAGUGGCAAGUAUUGGAUAAUGAAUCAAAGAAUAGUACAGCUUUAAAGUCAUAUCAAGAAUGAGAGUUGCAAAAGUGUCUUCAGGAUCGUACUAGUUUCAUUUCUCUGUCAUGUAUUUUGUUUGUGUUCAUGCGUGUGAAUAUGCAUGUGUAGGUAUAUGUGUGCAUAUGGAGGCCAGAGUAUGAUGUCAAGACACCUUCUUUAAUAUUUUCUCCCCCUUAUUUUUUGAGACAAGUUCUCUCACUGAACUAGGGACUCACUGAUUCAUUUGAACUAGCUGGAUAGCUUGCCAUGGGAAUCUUGCCAAUGCUUCCGUAACACCUGGAUUACAAGAAUGCAAUACCAUGUCCAACUUAUUCUUAUGUGGGUCAUGAGGAUUUGAACCUGUGCCCUAUACUUCUAUGUAGAGUGACAUAGUUUGCCCACCCCUGACUUUCUAUGGAGUCUUUCUUGGAAGAAGAUGGCACCUGAAGUUGCUGCACACACAUGUGACCACGGACGAAAGGAGGAGUGACUGUUUGUGCUUCUGAUUCAGAACUUCGCUGUUCACAGAGUGGUCAUCAACUUUCUGAUAACUAAGAAGGUUAUGAAACAUUUCAUCCCUUGAGUAGUUUGUUUAAAGAAACAAACAUUGUCACCUCCCACUGGACUUGCUCUGGGAUAAAGCAAGUGUUAUCUUCCAUCCA